UACGUAGGGUGCGAGCGUUGUCCGGAAUUAUUGGGCGUAAAGGGCUCGUAGGCGGUUUGUCGCGUCGGGAGUGAAAACUCAGGGCUUAACCCUGAGCCUGCUUCCGAUACGGGCAGACUAGAGGUAUGCAGGGGAGAACGGAAUUCCUGGUGUAGCGGUGAAAUGCGCAGAUAUCAGGAGGAACACCGGCGGCGAAGGCGGCUCACUGGGCACCACCUGACGCUGAGGCGCGAAAGCGUGGGGAGCGAACCGG
rnacentral:rRNA from 1 species